GAUGAACGCUGGCGGCGUGCCUAAUACAUGCAAGUCGAGCGAACAGACGAGGAGCUUGCUCCUCUGACGUUAGCGGCGGACGGGUGAGUAACACGUGGAUAACCUACCUAUAAGACUGGGAUAACUUCGGGAAACCGGAGCUAAUACCGGAUAAUAUAUUGAACCGCAUGGUUCAAUAGUGAAAGACGGUUUCGCUGUCACUUAUAGAUGGAUCCGCGCCGCAUUAGCUAGUUGGUAAGGUAACGGCUUACCAAGGCAACGAUGCGUAGCCGACCUGAGAGGGUGAUCGGCCACACUGGAACUGAGACACGGUCCAGACUCCUACGGGAGGCAGCAGUAGGGAAUCUUCCGCAAUGGGCGAAAGCCUGACGGAGCAACGCCGCGUGAGUGAUGAAGGUCUUCGGAUCGUAAAACUCUGAUAUUAGGGAAGAACAAAUGUGUAAGUAACUAUGCACGUCUUGACGGUACCUAAUCAGAAAGCCACGGCUAACUACGUG
rnacentral:rRNA from 1 species